rnacentral:misc_RNA from 1 species
CUCUUUCUUCCCCGGUAUAUGAAUCUCUCUCUAGUUAGAGCACACAGCCCUUAGAUUACAGCUCCCACCAUUGACAAAGAGCCGGUUUUCAUUCACUUGCCUUAUUUUUUAAUUUAUUUUUUUCGUUAAUUUGGGAUAUUAUUUUUGAGGGCCAUAUCUUUUAGCGAAGCUUUUGUGCGUUGUUUGUAAAAAGGAGCCAUUUUUAGAGAGAGAGAGAGAGUGAGGGAGACAAUAUAACGGCUAUAUUUGCUGGUUCUGCGGCUGUGGGAAGCGGAGAUCGAGGUAGGAAGAGGUUGAUUUGGUUUGGAGGAGGGAGACUUUACAGUUUUGCCCAUUUGGCAACCGAUUUUGGGGGGACCUUUUGGUCAAUUCGUGGUUGCUGAUCUUGUUUUUGAAGCAGUUGCAGAAGUGGGUUUUGAGAUUGGUGGGAUUUGAAUUGAAAUAUCUGGGUAGGGAGAUUAUAAGGGGAAAAGAGAAAAACAAACAAACAAAGGAAAAAAAAAAAACAGAAGCAAAAUGUGGUGGAUGAUGGGUGAAAAUGGUGGACAUUACUGCUCCAAGAAGACUGAUGACAUCUGCGGUGAUGUUUGUGGCCAGGACUCUGGCCGAGUUUUGAGCAUGUCCAGAAUCCGCUGUAUCCUCCAUAGCAUUGAUUUAAAGACCAUUUUAUUUCUAUUCAUCCUCGUGCCAACAUGUGUCUUUGGUAUUUAUGUGCAUGGACAGAAGAUCUCAUACUUCCUGAGGCCACUAUGGGAAAAACCGCCAAGAAGCUUCAAUGAAAUCCCACAUUAUUAUCAUGAGAAUAUGUCCAUGGAGAACCUGUGCAAGCUCCAUGGUUGGAAGAUUCGUGAAUUUCCUAGACGUGUUUAUGAUGCAGUGUUGUUUAGUAAUGAGCUGGAUAUCCUCACGUUAAGGUGGAAAGAAUUGUACCCUUAUGUCACGCAGUUCAUUCUUCUUGAAUCUAAUUCAACAUUUACUGGCAGUGAAAAGCUUCUAUAUUUUGCCAACCAUCGAGACGACUUGAAAUUUGUUGAGUCCAGAUUGACUUAUGGUACUGUUGGAGGGAGAUUUAGGAAAAGAGAGAACCCAUUUGUUGAGGAGGCAUAUCAGCGAGUAGCACUGGAUCAGCUUAUUAAAGUAGCAGGGAUUUCUGAUGAUGACUUGUUGAUAAUGUCAGAUGUAGAUGAAAUACCAAGCAGACAUACUAUAAAUCUCCUGAGAUGGUGUGAUGACAUACCUUCCAUUCUUCACCUUCGACUGAAGAAUUAUCUCUAUUCUUUUGAGUUUCUCGUGGAUAAUAAUAGCUGGAGAGCUUCAAUCCACAGGUAUCAGACAGGCAAGACGCGGUAUGCUCAUUAUCGCCAGGCAGAUGACAUUUUGGCAGAUGCAGGAUGGCAUUGCAGCUUUUGCUUUCGCCAUAUAAGUGAGUUUAUAUUCAAGAUGAGAGCUUACAGCCAUUAUGAUAGAGUCAGAUUCAAGCGGUUUUUGAACCCUGAGAGAAUCCAGAGAAAAAUCUGUGAGGGUGCUGAUUUAUUUGAUAUGUUUCCAGAGGAGUACACAUUCAAGGAAAUCAUUGGAAAAAUGGGACCAAUUCCUCAUUCCUACUCAGCUGUUCAUCUUCCAUCAUAUCUAUUAGAAAAUGCUGAUAAGUAUAAAUUUCUCUUGCCUGGGAAUUGCAUGAGAGAAAGUGGGUAACUUUCUUGGAUGACUUUUAAUAUCUGUUUCUGUAAAGCUUAGGCAGAGGUGCAGCUUGUGCAACUCCUUAUGAUGGGCCAAGCGAACAUGUGACAACUGCCAUAUGUCACUUGUGCAGUUGAACUGAAUUUGAGAAAUGCUUGAAGAGUUGGGUGAAUUCUUGGAUUUUCUAGGGUCACAUUAUGUAUAUAGCUUUCUUCUGGAUUUGGCUUUUAUUCAAGGCAGAACAUAUCCAUUUGACCUGGUGGGGAACUUGCUGUGAUGGUAACUGCCCAAGUUAUAACUGGGUGUUUGUGUAUUUCUUAGCAUGGGUAGAACUUGAUUCUCCAAGUACUCUAAAAAAUAGUUUUGAGGUUCUGAUUCCCCCCCCCCUAUAGGGAAGUUUUGUCAUGAGACAUUUUAUUCUUACGUGUCAUUAACACCCUGAUUCAUUAUAUUUGAUUGCAUUUUGAUCUGUUAUUGAUCACAAUUCUGUGUGCUCGUGCAUGUAUUCUUGUCCCUAAUGAACUGAAAAUCCACCCAUGCCCUGGAACAAUACUCUAUCUAAUACUUUGCUCCUCUUUAGUUUAACUGACCAAAUGAGGUUAGCAGGUUGUAGGGAAAAAUUUUCUGUUGCUGAUGCUUGUUCAAGUGGUUUAUGUUAAAAGCAUGUCAAGAAUUCCCAGAAUCAUCAUAUUUAAAAGUGUUCCUUUU